AUCACUUCUCAGUCUUUUGGUUAAGAUCAAGCAUAGUAUCUGUUCCUAUCAGUUUAAUAUUGGCAUGUCAUCUAUACGAGGACAAUAUAUUAAAUGGAAUUGGGGGGUACUCUAGAGAAUGUAUGGGAUAUCAUUAUUUCACAUAUAGACCUGAU
rnacentral:snRNA from 1 species